rnacentral:sRNA from 1 species
UCUUAGCCCCGAUAGCAGUGGAAAUCCUUUUGUGCCGGGGUUCGGCACAAAAGAUUGGAACGGAUAGCGGGAAAAAGC